UCCUUCCCAUUUUUAUUUCCUUGUUUAUCUAACUAUUCCCCUGGCCACUGUUCAGCUUUUUCACAAACAUUGUUUUAUUUUUCAUUCUUUUAUUUUGUAGUGCUGGGUACUGAAUCCAGAGCAUCACUCAUGUUGCACAAGUGUUCUUCUGGGGAACUGCAACACCACCCGCAUUCUGCAAAUUCUUUGUUCAGCAUUUCAUUCAUAUCAAUUUGUGUAGACUCUGUUCUUAGAAAUAUUCUUAUAUUUUCCAGACAUCAUAUGACUUGGUUUACCUCAUAUUUAUUGUGCUCCUGUGUUGAGAUUUUUACAUUUAGUAGAGCAAGUAUUUGCCACUUUUAUGGAAACCCCUUCAGAGUGAGUGGGCUCUUCCUAAAGACAUGUCUGGGGCGCUGGUUAUUUCUAGCUGGGCAUCACAGGUGGUAUCCUGGGCUCUGUUCCUCGAAAGGGGAUCCUGGUGACUCUCUGAUGUGGGGUACUGACCUCUCCCUACACAGCUGAGCCAACUUCUGUCCUCACAUGGGGUGUCUGCACCCCGCCCCUUACGAGAGGUUCCUCGCCUGUCAUUUAGUGAGUGUUGUCCUUCUCCUUCACAGGUGGCUCCUGCCCACUCUCCUCAUAGGAGUGGUCCUCUCACAAAGGUGUCCUGGCCAUCCACUCCUACAUGCAGGGGCCCCUAGCCUUUCCCUGCCAUCAGUUAUAAGCACCUCUCCUCCUCCUCUCCCCUCACAGACGGGGUCCUGUUCCUCUUUCUUACAGGUGGAUAUUGGACUCACCCCUCACUGAAGCUCUGGCCUCUCCUCUCAUGUGUCGGGUCCUUCCUAUGCAAUCUCCUCACAGGGAUUCCUGGUCUCUCCCCUCCACAGGUCCCAACAUCUCAGGCCUGAGCUGAGGUUCCAGAUCUCAUCCCAAGAAGCACCUUGAACAUGUCUUCCAUGAGAGGGUUCAGCAAGCACGUGGACAUUCUACCAAAGCCCCGGCCUGGUGACACUCUCUCUUGGCCAGCCAGUGGCAGGAGGUAAAGGGCACCAAAAGAGGGCUGCUGCAAGCCCAGACAAAGUGGUGAGUUUUUCUUUCUUCUUCCCCACUUCUCUGAACCCCUUACCCUUUGAGGCACAGUUUAUCUUUUUUCCCUUCUUUUUCUUUCUUCUUUUCCACAAAAUUUUACAAUCUUAGUGUUUCUUUGUAAGUAGAUAGACUGUCUCAGAGUCCCCAGGAAAUGAAUUCUUUUGCCUAAAAGCACCAAAGACAAGAGGUGCUUGGUCCCCCGGGCAGCAAUGGGGAAAGGUGCUGAGAGACGUCCCUGGUGGUGUGCAGGGCCUCCGGCUGACGUACCCCUCACGCCGACGCAGCCCACUGAUGGCUAAGACAGAGCUAAAACUUCUUCUCCGGAUAUAUGUGACAUACGUGACAUACGUGAGUUAUUAGUGCAUGCAGUGUUUCCAUCUGAGUUUCUCAUUCCACUGGCAUGGGAAAUCAAGUUCUGAAGCACUUAGAGGAGACCAGCUUUUGGCAUGACCCCAAGGAGGGCAGUCUCUGUAAGCCAUGUAUGUUUUGGGUUCUAAACACUUUAGGAAAAAGACAAUUCUCAAACCUCCUCUUUUCAUCUCUCCUCUCCCCCUCCCCUCCCCCUUCUCCCUUUCUCUCCCUUUCCCACCCCCACCCCUGCAUCUUCCUCGCUUUCCCUUCUGUGACUGUGACUCCCUUCUGGUUGGCUGGGAACAUGUCCCAAGCCAUGCAGACCCAAGUGGCCAUACAGGUGACAGCUGAUGUUAUCCUAGGAACCUGGUGAAACCUGUAACCCAAAGUGAGGAGCCCACUAGUUUACUUUUCUUUUCCUUCCUGACUCCCCAAGAAAGCCCCAACCCCCUUCUCCCUUCUUUCCUGCUCAGGCCUUCUUUUAGAAAACUCAAAUCCUUGAGCUUUUUCCAUUAUGUUAUCAGAGGGAGUCCAGAGAGCUUGGGGAGGGGGCGGAGAUUAAGAAAGCUGGGAACUCAUGAAGUUUCCCCACAGCUCUGGGCACAGUUCCUAGUGCGUCUCUCCACGUGAGAGGGCAGUGUAAGCACAUGGUCUCUGGGUUCUCCCAGCCACAGGAAGCGUGCCCCUGAGGCCCCUCGAACUGGCCGCCAUGACCUUUCUGGCCCUAAGUCUCUGUGGAGACCUGCAUAUAGGUGUCUUUGCGUCGAGCCUGUCGGGGUUGCUUUUUGAUGCUAACCGGCUUCCUCCCUCCAUUAUUUGAUUCUGGCCCCUGGCAGCCUGUUGUAGUUCUAAGAGACUUCUUUGGACUUCCCAUACCCUCUCAGAGCUCCUGCGUGUUACUGGUUUCUAGAUAAGCAGAUGUUUGCGGGAGUUUUAAGUAAAAUCAAGCUCUUCUGUGCAACUCCAUUUCCUGCUUUUUUGAUCUGUUACGGAAGGUCAGAUAAGCUACGUACCAGGAAAAACAUGAUUGUUCCUGACUUGAGGAACAGGUUUCUGUGUGACCAGCAUGGGUGCUCAGUGCAGAAAAGGGAGAGCUGCCUGUGCAGCUGGUUCUGACUCCGGGUACCAAGGCAGACAUGCCCUCCGGGGGCAGAUCUUAUUGGGGGGGAGGCUGCACUCCACGUGACCCCAGCGCUGCAGGCUGUGCAUGAAGCCUGACCUUGGUCUGGGAGGGUGGCUUGGGAGGGGUGCACAUAUGGCCUGAGCUGGUUUGGGUGGCCCACUGCCAUAUCCUGCGGGGACCCAGCUUGAGAGAGCCCAUGUGCCCUGACCUUGGAGACCUAGGACGUAUCCCAUACUGCUCUGUUUUUUGUUGUUUGUUUGUUUUAUUUUUGUUUUUGUUUUGUAUGGGUUCCGGGGAUCGAACUCACGACCGUGCUAGUCUUUGUUUUUUAAUUCUUCUUUCUUUAUGUCUUUUGAGAAGUACACAAAGGAAAUUUUGAAAGGGCACAGUGUGCCUUGCUAGAAUAGGAGUACUCAGUACCAUCCCUAAAAUAUCACCUUUAGGUUUUGUUUUGCAAAAUUGUGACUCCUUUAAAACAGAGGGCUUGGGCCAAGGAUUUAGCUCAGUGGCAUAAACACCUGCCUGACAAACAUGAGGUUUGAUAGAACUGUGGGGGGGAGGGGGGAAGGAGGACCGUGGUGGCUGAAAAGAUAAGAAGUACAAAACAUAAGUAACCUUUAUUUCAGGAAUGCGGGGAGAGACACCCCCGACCCCCUGGGGCGUGGCAUCUCCACCCCGGGGCCAGCGAUCUCUCCGUGGAACACGUGGAGUGAGGCACAUAAGUAGCCUCGGCCUGGGGUGGAACCUAAGGGGGCAUUAGGGAUGCACAGGUAGCCCAUUGGUCUUAGUUUGGCGCCAGAGGUAAUUCCUAAGUGUGGGGGAGAUAGGAGCUCCUUGGCUUUACAGUAUCCGGCCUGGGCCAAAACCCUUUCAUAUCCCGUCUUAUGAUUAUUAUGAAAAGGGGCGAAGAUUUUUCUCUUUAACUAUUUCCUGCUGGCUGAGGGUGCUGUACUGGGGUCUAGGGGAGUUGACGGGAUGAUGGUUGAUGUCUAGGUAGAAGCUGGUGUCAGGUGUUUUAGCCAGGACAACCUUACUGGUGAAUACACGUAUGUUAGACUAAAAAAAACAAAGAGACAAGAUGUUAUGAGGAGACAUGGCACUGUCAUAUUUAAGGACCCAAGUGAGGCAGAGGGAAAGGUGCCUUUGAUUUAGACAUGUUAUUCUAUCAGGAUGACGUUGAGGUAGGAUCAUUUCCACAGUAAGGCAGAAUUUUGAAAAUUAAACGUGGGAUUAGGAGGAGUGAAGUAAAAGUUAAAAGGUAGGUCGGUAAGGCUUGUCUCUGGUAUAUAUGACGUUGGAGUCUGUAGGCAAUACUGUUAAAGAGUCCUGCUGUAAAAUUGAUCAUUAAUAGAAUGUAAGAAAUUAGGAACCAAAGUGGAUAACAAAACAUGACAACCUGUGAGUCAUGGCCAUGAGGCCUUUGUAAGGCAGAGAUGAGUACAAAAAGCGUGGUUAGAUCUAGGGCCUGAGUGAUGUGAAACCAGAAUGGCAGUCUAACAACUUUGAUUGCUGUUGAGGUUCUGUCAGCCUGUAUAAAAGGGAAUAAAAGCAUUUUAAGAUUUAGGACUGGGACCUGCACAAAAUAGGCCCUGUUUGAGUAUGACAUAGGUUGACCUUUAAUACUCUGUCAGACAUUGAGGAUUUAUUAAAGUAGCUUGAAAACUCAAUAAGAACUCUGUAUAUAUGGCCUCUAUGUCCACAAAUAUAGAGAAUGUCUUACCUUGAGAGUUUUAAUGUGACUUGGACUCUGAGACAGACACCCACAAAGGCGGUUGUUGCUGGCCCUGAGCCCCUCUCAGUCUUCGGCAGCAGUUUUCAGUGACGAAUCUGGCAGUGUCCUGUGAGGGCUAGAAGUUAGGAUGGCCCACCCACUCUCUGGGGGCCAGGACAGCCCAGCAGCCCUGGAGUAGGUCUCAAAGAACGCCAGGAUGGGGCACUUUCUUGCCUAAUGUCUUCUGCUGCAUUUGAGCGUGGUCCAUGGCGGGGGGCAGGUAACUCUACCUUGUGUAGAUCUGUCUGUCUCAGAACUGCAAGUGUUAUUUAAAAUAUGAAAAACCACAUCAAGGUCUCUGUGGAGCUUGAAGGUCAAGUUUUGCCUUGUUGCUUGAGAUCUGGACUAUAGUAAAAGGUAUCUGUAGAAUUAAGUAUGUAGGAGCUUAAUAUUGGCAUUUUAGACUAGAAAGAAGGCUUUAUCUGGAUGUUAUACCGCUUUUGAUAGGGUGCCAUGUGGAAUUAACAAAAAGGCUUUAAUGGAAACAUUUUGCAGUAAAGGUUUAUCAAUCUUAUGAAUAAAUGUAUUAACUUAGUAUAUACUCUCAAGUUAUAACCUAGUUGUUAAACAGGAGAUUGGUGACAACACAGUACAGCAGAAGCAAUAAAUUUAGAACAUUACUGAUGGUGGACAUUAGAAUUUUUUAAAAAAACCCUUGUCUUGGAACAGACCUAGUGGUUUUUAGCAAAAAGGAAUUGAUAAAUAUCUCUUAAUUUUAGUGGUUAAAACAGGAGAUUAGUGUAGGCUUUAAUUGAUAAACAAGGCUGGUAAAAUUACCAGGUGGCCACUAACCUUGAAUAAAUGGUAGAAAAUUGUAAGAAAAAUAGCCUCUCUUGAGUGGAACUGAAUUGUAAAAAAAAUACGUUUGAGCAGAGCCACGAGAUGUUAUAUGUGUCUGUGUUGAAAGAAGCGGUUGUAUUUGGGAGAAACCUGUCUGGGAAACUCGCAGAGUCUGAGGCAGUUUGGAACUCUGAGAGAGACAGAUGGCACCCAUAGAGAGAGCACAGUUGCGCUUGGGGCAGGCCAAGAUUAUCUGGCAUGUAGGGAACAUGAAGAGUGGGCGGGGUGAGCGCUGGGACACAGCGCACAGGGGCGGGCUCAGAUCACACCUGAAACGGCGAGGAUGGCGCUGGGAUGGCGCAGGGAAAUACGCAAUUGAGCUGUGACGGCGGGAGAGGGGGGCGGUGCCGGCCAAUGCGGGUGGGCUCACCGUGGCCACCGGUGGGUCCAAGGCGCAGGGGCCGCCCGCUGUUGGCGACAGAGCCGGCGUGCAGCGCAAAGGGCGGCAGGGGUGGGGCGGGGCUGCGGCAGCAGCGGUGGCGGUGGCGGUGGAGGCGGGGUGGGCGGCAGUGGUGGGGCUGGGACACGCGCCGCAGCUUUCAGUCAAGUGUGGCUCUGCGCACAGCCGGCAGCCGGCAAACAGUAGCCUGCAGGAACCGCUUGUGGGAGCCGCGCUCGCUCACGGGAGCCUCGGGGACACGCGGCCCAGGACGCGGUGCCAAAAGCUGAACCCGUGGUGUGGACAGUCCCGCGCGUAUCUCUCAACGGCUGAAUGGACCGGCACGGGCACAAGUGGGCCGGUGCGGCAGGGAACGGGUUGGAUGUGGAGCUGAGUCACCACGUGGAGCUGAAACUGUUUGUGGGGUGCACAGAAACGCUGACCCCAUGUGGACCUGGAGCGCCACACAAGAGCCCAGAUACUGCACAGAAUUGGAGCGCAGUGUGAGAGUCAAAAGCUGUUUAAAAUCUUAUGUGUAUCUUAA